rnacentral:misc_RNA from 1 species
GAUGAGAACGCAGCGAAAUGCGAUAAGUAAUGUGAAUUGCAGAAUUCAGUGAAUCAUCGAGUCUUUGAACGCACAUUGCGCCCCCUGGUAUUCCGGGGGGCAUGCCUGUCCGAGCGUCAUUGCUGCCCUCAAGCACGGCUUGUGUGUUGGGCCCCCGUCCCCGGUUUCCCCCGGGGACGGGCCCGAAAGGCAGCGGCGGCACCGCGUCCGGUCCUCGAGCGUAUGGGGCUUUGUCACCCGCUCUGUAGGCCCGGCCGGCGCCAGCCGACACCCAACUUUAUUUCUAAGGUUGACCUCGGAUCAGGUAGGGAUACCCGCUGAACUUAAGCAUAUCAAUAAGCGGAGGA